rnacentral:piRNA from 1 species
UUGUCUAUGAUGUGACCAAUGAACA